AUUACCAGGAGAGACAGAUAAAGAUGAGCAGAAGGACUAGGAAGAAGGAGAGAGGCAUUUUUCCUUGCUCAGCCCAGCUUGCACUCUAACAGAUUAGUGCUUUUGGGAGGAGAAGGAGGGUGCUGUAUGCUGCUGCUCUUCAUAAAGGUCACCGCUCCCAAAAGGAUCAGUAACAUCACGGGCACCGUUACCCUUGCGCAAGGUAGAUGGAUAAUUACUGCCUUUAGACACCAUUUAGACUUUAACUGGAGGUUGCUCACACCUAAUAAGAGGCUCUUGAGGCAGCAAAAGUACCUGGAUUUGAAUAGGGUUGGAAGGUAAUCUCCAUCGAUCUGCCACCAUGUGCCUGAGUGAGAAUCACUUCAGUAUCCCCUGUACUGCCUUCUCUUAUGGCCAUCUGUGGAGGAACUCCUCUCUGAACUCAAGCUAAGCGCGCUGCGGGAAGGAAGCCCUUCUGCAUCACUUGAAUUCACACCUCGCCAUG